GUCAGGAUACUCAAGUUGGUGAAGAGGAUGGUUUGCUAAACCAUUAGGUCACAGAAAUGUGGCGCGUGAGUUCGAGCCUCACUCCUGACGCCA
rnacentral:tRNA from 1 species